GCUCCAAGCACAAAGAAGAGCAACUGUAAACUCUCAGAAGCCAGAGACAAAAUGGUUUCCUCAGGGUCAAAGACAAAAGCAGAGAAACAUCAACGUUUAAGGAGCAUUUAAGAGAGAGGAAAAGAGAACAGAGGAGAAGCAGAAGAAAAUCCAAGUGAGCAAAGUAAGAGAAACCAAGGUCAAAAGUGCCUGAGAAGAGGCCAACAAUGUCACAUGCUGCAGGGAUAUCAAGCAAGGGGCAGCAAGUCAAAACUGCAAGUCAUGUAGCUGAAGAAUGUGCAAAGGAGAAAGUUUUCACCUAAUGUAACACCCAGAACCAAAGCUUGCCCCUGCUGCACAGAACCCAAGGACCGGGACACGACCACAAGUCGAAAGCUGGAAACUUUUCAGAAAGAAGGAUCCAUUGUCCAGGAAGAUCUGGUGUUAAAGCCCCUUUUCAUAUCCCAUAAUUGGUCUUCUUUAAAGUCCUUCCAAUCAAAAUCUCUUGCCAGCACUUCCACAUACCAGCCUGUCUCCCUAAUCCCUUAAAUUCUACCCCAAACCCUGGAUCAGGGAGACAAAUUUGCACCCUGC
rnacentral:lncRNA from 1 species